rnacentral:rRNA from 1 species
CGGGGUGCACCAGGCGCGAAAACUUUACAAUGCUGGAAACAGCGAUAGGGGGACCUCGAGUGCCAGGAUACAAUCCUGGCUGUCGUUGUGUCUAAAAAACACAAUAUAGCAAGGGCCGGGCAAGACCGGUGCCAGCCGCCGCGGUAACACCGGCGGCUCGAGUGGUAACCGCUAUUAUUGGGUCUAAAGGGUCUGUAGCCGGCUGAAAAAGUCUCUUGGGAAAUCCGGCCGCUCAACGGUCGGGCGUUCAGGAGAUACUCUUCGGCUCGAGACCGGGAGAGGUGAGAGGUACUUCAUGGGUAGGGGUGAAAUCUUGUAAUCCUUGAAGGACCACCAGUGGCGAAGGCGUCUCACCAGAACGGAUCUGACGGCAAGGGACGAAAGCUAGGGGCACGAACCGGAUUAGAUACCCGGGUAGUCCUAGCCGUAAACGAUACUCGCUAGGUGUCGGCCACGGUGCGACCGUGGUCGGUGCCGUAGGGAAGCCGUGAAGCGAGCCACCUGGGAAGUACGGCCGCAAGGCUGAAACUUAAAGGAAUUGGCGGGGGAGCACAAGGGCAAUUCG